rnacentral:tRNA from 1 species
GAGGGUAUAGCUCAGUGGUAGAGCACAUGCUUAGCAUGCACGAGGUCCUGGGUUCAAUCCCCAGUACCUCUU